GGUCUUGCUAUUUAGAGCAGAGACAAAAGUCAAAGAAUUACAGAAAUCAUUUAAACUUUUAAAGGAUACAAGUGUAAAAUUAGAGAAUGAUGCGGUAACAGCUGAAGGAGAGAUGAUACGAGGAAAUACAAAACUCAGGCAAGCUGACAAAUCAAUAGAGCCAUACAGUCAGCGUACAAGAUAGAAAGGCAAACUGUAGGUUUGCAAUUAAAAGGGAGAGGACCAGAGAUAGAAAUGAUGAUGAAUGUCAUCAAACUUGAGAUUAU